rnacentral:rRNA from 1 species
UACGGAGGGUGCAAGCGUUAUCCGGAUUCACUGGGUUUAAAGGGUGCGUAGGCGGACCGGUAAGUCCGUGGUGAAAUCUCUGGGCUUAACUCAGAAAUUGCCGUGGAUACUAUCUGUCUUGAAUGCUGUGGAGGUGAGCGGAAUAUGUCAUGUAGCGGUGAAAUGCUUAGAUAUGACAUAGAACACCAAUUGCGAAGGCAGCUCGCUACACAGUGAUUGACGCUGAGGCACGAAAGCGUGGGGAUCAAACAGGAUUAGAAACCCCCGUAGUCC